rnacentral:lncRNA from 1 species
CAUGGUACUAGUAACUUGAAAACAAACUUCAAUAACAUUUUAUGUUCAAGAUGUUUAGUCAUUUCUUUCAUAUGACCAUCAGUUAUAAUAUCACAUGACCAUCAGUUACAAUAUCACAUGACCAUCAGUUACAAUAUCACAUGACCAUCAGUUACAAUAUCACAUGACACCUGAUAAACAAACUCAAUUUUUUUGUGGUGUAGUGUCUUUGACCGUUUAUGUGUCACACACUUCUUUUUGCCAAAGUCAAUGAUACACUAAAAAUGAUCUUGCCAUUUUUCAUCUCUAUAAAGUCGAC